CACGCCAUUCCUCAUCACACAAAACUUGUUUGUGCAUGAGAUUUCUCCAAAAUACUCCACUUUAUCACCCACUUGAUAGGGUUGUAAUUGGUUUUGAUUUAAAUUUAAAAGGAGUUUUGAAUUUGAUUAAAACCUCAUCCUAAUCCUUCCACCCACCGACCACUUUUGUGAGUUCUUUUUAUGCAACAAAAAGAAGCUCCCGAUGGUUUUUCAUGCCCAUAUGCUCAUGUACAGCACUUCUUUAAUCAAAGAAUG
rnacentral:lncRNA from 1 species